rnacentral:rRNA from 1 species
AUUGAACGCUGGCGGCAGGCCUAACACAUGCAAGUCGAACGGUAACAGGAAGCAGCUUGCUGCUUUGCUGACGAGUGGCGGACGGGUGAGUAAUGUCUGGGAAACUGCCCGAUGGAGGGGGAUAACUACUGGAAACGGUAGCUAAUACCGCAUAACGUCGCAAGACCAAAGAGGGGGACCUUAGGGCCUCUUGCCAUCGGAUGUGCCCAGAUGGGAUUAGCUAGUAGGUGGGGUAACGGCUCACCUAGGCGACGCUCCCUAGCUGGUCUGAGAGGAUGACCAGCCACACUGGAACUGAGACACGGUCCAGACUCCUACGGGAGGCAGCAGUGGGGAAUAUUGCACAAUGGGCGCAAGCCUGAUGCAGCCAUGCCGCGUGUAUGAAGAAGGCCUUCGGGUUGUAAAGUACUUUCAGCGGGGAGGAAGGGAGUAAAGUUAAUACCUUUGCUCAUUGACGUUACCCGCAGAAGAAGCACCGGCUAACUCCGUG